CGCCACAACGGCUUCCUCGCGUGGCGACGAAAACACCAACGGAGCG
rnacentral:ncRNA from 1 species